rnacentral:lncRNA from 1 species
AAGUUUUGGAGGUUGUUGAUGUGUGUGUAGAAGUCAAUGUGCCACUUUAGUUGUGCUUCAACAACACAACCACCACAUUAAAUCAGACAUCAUUUACACCAAGAACCGAAUGUGUCUGUUUCAGUCUUGCAAGAACACAACACAUUAUCAAGGGUCCGAUGAUUAGAGGCAUUCCCUUCACCGGGCAAAAUGCGCGUGUGUCUACAAAGGAAUGACAUUGGCAGUAGGCUGACAUCAUCUAUAAUGCGGGUUGGCUAUGUAGACGCUCAGAGAUAGAGAAAAUAAAUACCAUAAAAUUUAAAACCAUGUAAACGUCCUCUCUUUUCACCACUUGAUGCUAAAUAUGGGUGCUAAUUACAGAAUGAAAACAAUUUUAGUAUUUUACCUCGUGCGGAGGAAAAUACCCAAGUGCUUGAUGUAUCUUUUGUCGCCGAUGCGACGCUGGCCUGCUCGAAGAUAGCAUCAGCGUAAAAAACACAUCGACUUGCUAUGGUCUGUAUGCAUCGACCAAAUGAUAUUCUCAUGCUAAGUACAUCGACUCUUCAUUGACAUUAGUAUACAUCGACUCUUCAUUGACAUUAGUAUACAUCGACUUGUUGUGGUCUGUGUGUUCCAUUGAUAUUCUUAAAUUCCAUUGCGGUGAGGACACAUGACUUUGAAAAAAUUGAAUACUUACAAAUGCAGGUCGCCUGUGUAGAUGCAUAGAGAUUAAGAAAAUAGAUGCGAUGUCAUAAAUUAAAAAUCAUCUAACUGCCCUCUCUGUCAAUGCUUGAUGCUAAGUAGGGUGCUAAUUACAGACUUCAAAUACCUUUGGUAUUCUACCUGCCCUUGAUGCAUCCACCGAUGAGGCUCAACUGCCGAUCGACUGGGAAACAAAUCCCGGC